AGUACCUGAUAUGAAGUUCACUUUCCAGAGAAGGGGGCAGAUCUGGAACAAAUUAAUAUCAACCACCUCUUUACAAGGACAGACUUCUAGAUUUGUCGUGACUCCGUCCAUUUUGGUGACAGAAUAGGAGACAUUGAAAUGGAAGAAGACUCCUCCUGUUCCAUCCACAACUAAAUAUUAAUAAGAUUUCCGUAUUCAUCUUGAUGUGUAUAUGAGGGGAUAGGGUUAGAAAAACAUGGCGGCUUUCAUUCAGAAACUGCCCCUUUCUUGACUAUGGGCAUGUCAGGUAUUACAGCCCAGCACUCAUGCCCUUAUGAGCUGCUAUACCACACACAUGGACAAAGGGGGCACUACUUCUAGAAGAAAGCUGCCAUGUUUAAUCUCAUACAACCCCUUGCGAUUCACUUUCGUAUAAAUGUACGAUUGUAUCACUGAAGAGUCUCUCUCCCUAAAAGUAAAGUCACAGGGGAAGAUAUAAGGGUCUGCAACCUCCAGCACCUUCUGAAACGACCACCCCAGUAGUCACCCAGCUUUCCCAGAAACAGAAAUAGCUGAAGAAACUAUAAAAGGCCCAUAUUGUGUACUUCAUCUGGUUAUGGCGUUAACCCGGGCAGUAUUAUCCUAGCAUGAAAUGCUUCCUUCAACAUGGCAGCCACCAGCCAUCCAUAUGUAUGAGAGAGCCCAGCCUCGUAAUGUAAAUUAUACACCAUGUACGUUACUGGACACGACGCGGCCUUCUUCCUCCCAGUACUGAAAACCGAUUCCUCACAGAAUUAUUCUUCAUUUAUGUGUGUGUUAUUGUGUUAUUAAAGAUGAAUCCAUUGCCGGCU